UACAAGCUUAGCUGAAAUAGCCUUUUCGGUUUUUAUUUCGAUUACGAAGGUUAUAGUGAGAAAAAGUGAAAAUGUCCCGUAAAACAACGCUGAAGGAUUAUUUUAAAAAACAGGAGAGAGCUGACGCAGGCAAGAUUCUUUCAUCACGUCCGCAAAUUGAUGAAACGGAAAAGUCCAAGACAAAAAAAAAAGAACGAACGAAAAAGAUUCAGAGAUGUCGAGUGGCAUGAUUAUUUCGAUACCGCAUUCACCAUGUGACGAGAUGGAUGAUUUGAAUCCCAAAAAAACAAGCGAAAGAAACGGAUUUUGAGCAUUUUGAGAUUGGUAUGAAACCCGGUUCUAUAUAGAAAAACAAGUUGUUCAUAUGUUCAUCCGCGCAUGACUC